rnacentral:pre_miRNA from 1 species
AAUAAGCUUACUUUUCAAUUUUUAAAUGCAAUGUUUGACUCUUCGUUUUAUUUAAAAUUUUUUGUGAAUAAUAUUUUUAUUAUUACUAGAUGAUAAAUCAUGAAUGUACUUCAUGUAUGACUAGUUUUUUAAGUUUUUUAUAAGUUUUUUAAUAAGAUGAAUGGUUAAAGUGUUGGACACAAAAAUCAAAAAAUAAAGUUAUU